CCUACGGGUGGCAGCAGUGAGGAAUAUUGGUCAAUGGGCGCGAGCCUGAACCAGCCAAGUCGCGUGAGGGAUGAAGGUUCUAUGGAUCGUAAACCUCUUUUAUAAGGGAGUAAAGUGUGGGACGUGUCCUAUUUUGUAUGUACCUUAUGAAUAAGGAUCGGCUAACUCCGUGCCAGCAGCCGCGGUAAUACGGAGGAUCCGAGCGUUAUCCGGAUUUAUUGGGUUUAAAGGGUGCAUAGGCGGCCUUUUAAGUCAGCGGUGAAAGUCUGUGGCUCAACCAUAGAAUUGACGUUGAAACUGGGGGGCUUGAGUAUGUGUGAGGAAGGUGGAAUGCGUGGUGUAGCGGUGAAAUGCUUAGAUAUCACGCAGAACCCCGAUUGCGAAGGCAGCCAGCCAGGCCAUGACUGACGCUGAUGCACGAAAGCGUGGGGAUCAAACAGGAUUAGAUACCCGUGUAGUC
rnacentral:rRNA from 1 species